UACGGAGGGUGCAAGCGUUAUCCGGAUUCACUGGGUUUAAAGGGUGCGUAGGUGGGCAGUUAAGUCAGUGGUGAAAUCUCCGGGCUCAACCCGGAAACUGCCAUUGAUACUAUCUGUCUUGAAUAUCGUGGAGGUAAGCGGAAUAUGUCAUGUAGCGGUGAAAUGCUUAGAUAUGACAUAGAACACCAAUUGCGAAGGCAGCUCACUACACAGCCAUUGACGCUGAGGCACGAAAGCGUGGGGAUCAAACAGG
rnacentral:rRNA from 1 species